rnacentral:rRNA from 1 species
UACGUAGGGUGCGAGCGUUAAUCGGAAUUACUGGGCGUAAAGUGUGCGCAGGUGGCCGCGCAAGUCGAGUGUGAAAUCCCCCGAGCUUAACUUGGGAAUUGCGCUCGAAACUACGUGGCUCGAGUGUGGCAGAGGAAGGUGGAAUUCCACGUGUAGCGGUGAAAUGCGUAGAUAUCGUCAAGAACACCGAUAGCGAAGGCAGCUUACUGGGCUGUAACUGACGCUGAUGCACGAAAGUGUGGGGAUCAAACAGG